CCUGGUGGCGAUUGAUCUCGGGUUCAACAGAAUCGAGGGAAACGCCCUUGUGAAUUUCUCUGCUUAUCCGCUGUUGUCGUCUUUGUCAUUGAGAUACAAUCGGCUACGUGGCACAAUCCCAUUCGAGUACGGUCAGAAGAAGAGUUUGAGAAGGCUGUUCUUGGACGGUAAUUUCUUGAUUGGGAAGCCGCCGUCUGGGUUUUUCUCCGGAGAGGCGCCUGUCACCGGUAGCUUGGGGGAUAAUUGUUUGCAAGGAUGUCCAGGUUCGUCUCAGCUGUGCACGCCUUCACAAAAGCCUAGUUAUAUGUGCAAGCAAGCUUACGGUGGAAGAGGAAAACCAAGCUCAUAGUGUGUCAGAUUUUCUGUUCCACCGUAAGCUUGCUUGCACAUAUAA
rnacentral:misc_RNA from 1 species